rnacentral:lncRNA from 1 species
GCCUUGCGCUUUCAGUGAAACAGGAAAAGGUGUGUGAGCCUCCUGCUUGUUCCUUCUGCGGUUUCCUCUUGACUUUGUGCUCCUGGGCUCUGAGACCGUAAGUUACAGAGAUCGUGAACUUUUGGUUACCGUGGCAACAGCCACCACGCCAACCUUCCCCAGGCCAGUUUGAGUCUUUGAGGGCCAAGGAAGGAUUUGCGUUGUCUCCUUACCGUGUGUGGUAAGGUCGAUUUCUAAUUCAGGUGCUAUUUCAAACUUUUUCGCGGAACGGCUGAGAUUGAUUUUUUUUAAAGGCCUAAUCUGGAUUUAAGGCGGAGAAACAAAAUUUGAGGCUGGCCAACUCUUUGGGAGAUGGGUCAGCAGGUAGUGGCAAUUACUGUCAAGCCGGGUGAGUUCGAUCCCCGGAUCUACACAGUUGAAGGACCCCUCUAGAUGAUUCUCUGACCUCCACGCGUGCGCCGUGGCUUCUUCCGACAAUAAACAAAGUGUAAUAUUAAAAAAAGAAAUCGUACCGGGCGGUGGUUGCGCACGCCUUUAAUCCCAGUACUUGGGAGGCAGAGGCAGGCGGAUUCCUGAGUUCGAGGCCAGCCUGUCUACAGAGUGAGUUCCAGGACAGCCAGGGCUACACAGAGAAACCCUGUCUCGGAAAAAAACAAAACAAAACACCCCC